rnacentral:rRNA from 1 species
AUUGAACGCUGGCGGCAUGCCUUACACAUGCAAGUCGAACGGUAACGCGGGGCAACCUGGCGACGAGUGGCGAACGGGUGAGUAAUGCAUCGGAACGUGCCCAGUAGUGGGGGAUAGCCCGGCGAGAGCCGGAUUAAUACCGCAUACGACCUACGGGUGAAAGCGGGGGACCGUAAGGCCUCGCGCUAUUGGAGCGGCCGAUGUCAGAUUAGGUUGUUGGUGGGGUAAAAGCCUACCAAGCCGACGAUCUGUAGCUGGUCUGAGAGGACGACCAGCCACACUGGGACUGAGACACGGCCCAGACUGCUACGGGAGGCAGCAGUGGGGAAUUUUGGACAAUGGGGGCAACCCUGAUCCAGCCAUGCCGCGUGCGGGAAGAAGGCCUUCGGGUUGUAAACCGCUUUUGUCAGGGAAGAAACGCUCUGGGCUAAUACCCCGGGGUAAUGACGGUACCUGAAGAAUAAGCACCGGCUAACUACGUGCCAGCCGCCGCAGUAAAAC